GUCUCGACUCUCUUACAAUUUUAAGUUGAGGAAUUUGAUACCUGCAGAUGUAUUCAAGUGUUACCAAAUUUGGAGCAUCAAUCUCCCAUAUUUCCCCACAAUACUGAAUCUUCAAGACCUUCAGAGAAUCCGACUUGAUCUUUUCCAAUCCCGAACAAUACUCGAGGGUGACAGAGACAACCAAGGGACAACUAUUAAGUAGAGUCUGAAACAUGUUUUCGUCUAAUCUUACCGAAGAUAGAGAAAGUUUUCUCAAAGAAUUGCAACUGACAACACCACUGUAUAACGAAUCAGGCAGAAGAGUACAACCCACCAGAACCAAUUCUCUUAAAGAUUUUGCUCCCAAGAUUGUGAAAAUAGGCAAGGGGUAUAAUGGACAUUUAACGACAAGAUCUUUUACACCAUUCUGAAGUGCAAUGUGAAGCCACUCAUCAAUUAGAGGGAAAAC
rnacentral:lncRNA from 1 species